AUUGAACGCUGGCGGCAUGCUUUACACAUGCAAGUCGAACGGUAACAGGGUGCUUGCACCGCUGACGAGUGGCGAACGGGUGAGUAAUGCGUCGGAACGUGCCGAGUAGUGGGGGAUAACGCAGCGAAAGUUGUGCUAAUACCGCAUACGUCGUGAGGUAGAGAGUGAGGGACCUUCGGGCCUCACGCUAUUCGAGCGGCCGACAUCUGAUUAGCUAGUAGGUGAGGUAAAGGCUCACCUAGGCGACGAUCAGUAGCGGGUCUGAGAGGAUGAUCCGCCACACUGGGACUGAGACACGGCCCAGACUCCUACGGGAGGCAGCAGUGGGGAAUUUUGGACAAUGGGCGAAAGCCUGAUCCAGCCAUGCCGCGUGUCUGAAGAAGGCCUUCGGGUUGUAAAGGACUUUUGUCAGGGAGGAAAUCCCUAGUGCUAAUAACACUGGGGGAUGACAGUACCUGAAGAAUAAGCACCGGCUAACUACGUGCCAGCCGCCGCUGUAA
rnacentral:rRNA from 1 species